rnacentral:rRNA from 1 species
AAAUUGAAGAGUUUGAUCAUGGCUCAGAUUGAACGCUGGCGGCAGGCCUAACACAUGCAAGUCGAGCGGAAACGAGUUAUCUGAACCUUCGGGGAACGAUAACGGCGUCGAGCGGCGGACGGGUGAGUAAUGCCUAGGAAAUUGCCCUGAUGUGGGGGAUAACCAUUGGAAACGAUGGCUAAUACCGCAUAACGCCUACGGGCCAAAGAGGGGGACCUUCGGGCCUCUCGCGUCAGGAUAUGCCUAGGUGGGAUUAGCUAGUUGGUGAGGUAAGGGCUCACCAAGGCGACGAUCCCUAGCUGGUCUGAGAGGAUGAUCAGCCACACUGGAACUGAGACACGGUCCAGACUCCUACGGGAGGCAGCAGUGGGGAAUAUUGCACAAUGGGCGCAAGCCUGAUGCAGCCAUGCCGCGUGUGUGAAGAAGGCCUUCGGGUUGUAAAGCACUUUCAGUCGUGAGGAAGGUAGUGUAGUUAAUAGCUGCAUUAUUUGACGUUAGCGACAGAAGAAGCACCGGCUAACUCCGUGCCAGCAGCCGCGGUAAUACGGAGGGUGCGAGCGUUAAUCGGAAUUACUGGGCGUAAAGCGCAUGCAGGUGGUUUGUUAAGUCAGAUGUGAAAGCCCGGGGCUCAACCUCGGAAUUGCAUUUGAAACUGGCAGACUAGAGUACUGUAGAGGGGGUAGAAUUUCAGGUGUAGCGGUGAAAUGCGUAGAGAUCUGAAGGAAUACCGGUGGCGAAGGCGGCCCCCUGGACAGAUACUGACACUCAGAUGCGAAAGCGUGGGGAGCAAACAGGAUUAGAUACCCUGGUAGUCCACGCCGUAAACGAUGUCUACUUGGAGGUUGUGGCCUUGAGCCGUGGCUUUCGGAGCUAACGCGUUAAGUAGACCGCCUGGGGAGUACGGUCGCAAGAUUAAAACUCAAAUGAAUUGACGGGGGCCCGCACAAGCGGUGGAGCAUGUGGUUUAAUUCGAUGCAACGCGAAGAACCUUACCUACUCUUGACAUCCAGAGAACUUUCCAGAGAUGGAUUGGUGCCUUCGGGAACUCUGAGACAGGUGCUGCAUGGCUGUCGUCAGCUCGUGUUGUGAAAUGUUGGGUUAAGUCCCGCAACGAGCGCAACCCUUAUCCUUGUUUGCCAGCGAGUAAUGUCGGGAACUCCAGGGAGACUGCCGGUGAUAAACCGGAGGAAGGUGGGGACGACGUCAAGUCAUCAUGGCCCUUACGAGUAGGGCUACACACGUGCUACAAUGGCGCAUACAGAGGGCAGCCAACUUGCGAAAGUGAGCGAAUCCCAAAAAGUGCGUCGUAGUCCGGAUCGGAGUCUGCAACUCGACUCCGUGAAGUCGGAAUCGCUAGUAAUCGUGGAUCAGAAUGCCACGGUGAAUACGUUCCCGGGCCUUGUACACACCGCCCGUCACACCAUGGGAGUGGGCUGCAAAAGAAGUAGGUAGUUUAACCUUCGGGAGGACGCUUACCACUUUGUGGUUCAUGACUGGGGUGAAGUCGUAACAAGGUAGCGCUAGGGGAACCUGGCGCUGGAUCACCUCCUUAUACGAUGAU